rnacentral:rRNA from 1 species
ACUUCUUCUUCUCUCUUUCUCCUUAUUUACUUUUCGUAAAGCGCUUUCAGGCGGGGCGAUAAGUCGUGCGUGAAAGCUCCCAGGCUUAACCGGGAGAGGACGUGCGAGACUGUGGUUCUGGAGGCAGGCAGAGGCAGGUGGAAUUCCGGGUGGAGUGGUGAAAUGCGUAGAGAUCCGGAGGAACCCCAGUGGCGAAGGCGACCUGCUCGGCCUUGCCUGACGCUCAGACGCGAAAGCAUGGGGAGCGAACGG